GACGAAAAAUGAAUACCAAGUCUCAAGAGUGAACACGUAAUUCAUUACGAAGUUUAAUUCAUUGAGCAUCAAACUUUUAAAUUGAAGAGUUUGAUCAUGGCUCAGAUUGAACGCUGGCGGCAGGCCUAACACAUGCAAGUCGAACGGUAACAGGAAGCAGCUUGCUGCUUUGCUGACGAGUGGCGGACGGGUGAGUAAUGUCUGGGAAACUGCCUGAUGGAGGGGGAUAACUACUGGAAACGGUGGCUAAUACCGCAUAACGUCGCAAGACCAAAGAGGGGGACCUUCGGGCCUCUUGCCAUCAGAUGUGCCCAGAUGGGAUUAGCUUGUUGGUGAGGUAACGGCUCACCAAGGCGACGAUCCCUAGCUGGUCUGAGAGGAUGACCAGCCACACUGGAACUGAGACACGGUCCAGACUCCUACGGGAGGCAGCAGUGGGGAAUAUUGCACAAUGGGCGCAAGCCUGAUGCAGCCAUGCCGCGUGUAUGAAGAAGGCCUUCGGGUUGUAAAGUACUUUCAGCGGGGAGGAAGGUGUUGUGGUUAAUAACCGCAGCAAUUGACGUUACCCGCAGAAGAAGCACCGGCUAACUCCGUGCCAGCAGCCGCGGUAAUACGGAGGGUGCAAGCGUUAAUCGGAAUUACUGGGCGUAAAGCGCACGCAGGCGGUCUGUCAAGUCGGAUGUGAAAUCCCCGGGCUCAACCUGGGAACUGCAUUCGAAACUGGCAGGCUUGAGUCUUGUAGAGGGGGGUAGAAUUCCAGGNNNNNNNNNNNNNNNNNNNNGUGAAAUGCGUAGAGAUCUGGAGGAAUACCGGUGGCGAAGGCGGCCCCCUGGACAAAGACUGACGCUCAGGUGCGAAAGCGUGGGGAGCAAACAGGAUUAGAUACCCUGGUAGUCCACGCCGUAAACGAUGUCUACUUGGAGGUUGUGCCCUUGAGGCGUGGCUUCCGGAGCUAACGCGUUAAGUAGACCGCCUGGGGAGUACGGCCGCAAGGUUAAAACUCAAAUGAAUUGACGGGGGCCCGCACAAGCGGUGGAGCAUGUGGUUUAAUUCGAUGCAACGCGAAGAACCUUACCUGGUCUUGACAUCCACGGAAGUUUUCAGAGAUGAGAAUGUGCCUUCGGGAACCGUGAGACAGGUGCUGCAUGGCUGUCGUCAGCUCGUGUUGUGAAAUGUUGGGUUAAGUCCCGCAACGAGCGCAACCCUUAUCCUUUGUUGCCAGCGGUCCGGCCGGGAACUCAAAGGAGACUGCCAGUGAUAAACUGGAGGAAGGUGGGGAUGACGUCAAGUCAUCAUGGCCCUUACGACCAGGGCUACACACGUGCUACAAUGGCGCAUACAAAGAGAAGCGACCUCGCGAGAGCAAGCGGACCUCAUAAAGUGCGUCGUAGUCCGGAUUGGAGUCUGCAACUCGACUCCAUGAAGUCGGAAUCGCUAGUAAUCGUGGAUCAGAAUGCCACGGUGAAUACGUUCCCGGGCCUUGUACACACCGCCCGUCACACCAUGGGAGUGGGUUGCAAAAGAAGUAGGUAGCUUAACCUUCGGGAGGGCGCUUACCACUUUGUGAUUCAUGACUGGGGUGAAGUCGUAACAAGGUAACCGUAGGGGAACCUGCGGUUGGAUCACCUCCUUACCUUAAAGAAGCGUACUUUGCAGUGCUCACACAGAUUGUCUGAUGAAAA
rnacentral:rRNA from 1 species